AGCCAACAAAGGGCCGUUCGCCUUUCAUGGCCUCCACAGCAGCGUUGCCGUGGCUGUCACAAAUUCUCUGCACCCCAGGAGUGCCGCUUGGACCCCCGGGCUCGCUGCGUGGUCCAUAUCUAGGUCGGGCCUCUCACGGAGACUUUCCCACCAGUGUAAUAAAGAGGAGAAAACGUCACAGCGGAAGGGCCUGACCCUGCUGCAUCCACUAAGGAAACAGCUACGGGGAUGGGACCCUGGAAGCUGCUGUGGGAGCCUCAUCCACCGCUUCUCUGACCCCACCCAGGCUGCUUCCCAGGCCUCAGGGUCUUAGUGUGGACCUCCGGGCCGUGAUUAAUGCAGGUCAGCAGGACCAGAGCGCCC
rnacentral:lncRNA from 1 species